CCGACCCACAGAUAAAAGGUCAAGAAAAACCAGGAAGGGAGAGAGAGGGCGGGAAGGAUCUAUGAACCAUAGAGAAAGAGACAAUCUACAUUGGCUGGAUUUACCGUGUACGAGCUGGACUGUUUUGGACUUACCUGUUGGCGUUUAGACCUGGACCUACCGAGAACCAGAUUUGUGUACCGAACCCUGCUAUCCUUGACCUUACCUGUGGCCUGACCAGGACAGCGAAACAAACACACAGAACGCAGCACUUCCUAUUCUUCAGAGUCUAAAGUGACAGACGUGCAGCAACUAAAGAACCAAACUCUGCUUUAACCACUCCGGACUGUUUGACUAUUGUGACUCCUGAUGCUGGGUGUGGCCUACCUGUCUACCUGGGAACGCAGAUGUUCAACUACCUCCUAUGCCUGGUCACCAACAUCUGCUGCUGGUGGCGGGCGGCCCUUCGGUCCAGGUGAACCAGGAGAUCUUCACCAUCAACCAGUCUGUCAGGGAGCUUCUCUACUGCCUCUACUCGCCUACAUUGGUCACCAAUGUCCUCUUCAAUGUCCUCUUGGGGCAGCAGGAAGCCUAGUGGUUAGAGCGUGGUUAGAGCGUUGGACUAGUAACCGAAAGGUCGCUAGAUUGAAUCCCCGAGCUGACAAGGUAAAAAUCUGUCAUUCUGCCCCUGAAGAAGGCAGUUAACCCACUGUUGCUAAGCUGUCAUUGUAAAUAAGAAUAUGUUCUUAACUGACUUGCCUAGUUAAAUCAUGGUAAAAAUGGGUGUGAAUUUGCCAUUAUAUUUGUCCUUUUAUAAGUUAAAUUAGGCAGAAAAAUGUAAAGAUCUUACUCUCACCUCACUAACCUAUUUUUAACUGUUUUGCUUGGCAAAAAAUGACCCCGCAAAAAUAUAUAACUUUACAAAAUCAUAUUUUUACUUGUAUUACAUCACGUAAAGUAGUUACUUCUGUACUUUUGAGUGAUGUAUUGUAUGUUUUAAUAGAAGUGUGAAAUAAAGCAAAUCUGAUUGUCUGUCACGUAUGAUUACAACAUGUCAUCAAAUAUCUCCCCCUUCAGUGAAUGUAUGCACAUGUCUUGGUUAAUUGUAUCACCAUUACUAAACUUGCAAACUAAGAAAACGUCACUGAAAAGAAAAUAUUAGCUUUCAUGAAUGUUGAAACCUGCCUGACAUUUUCAUUGACUACUUAAUGGCAGCAAACAUUGUAUUUUAUCUGUUGUAACUGCAUCUGUUUAGGAGAUCUGCCUAAUUCUGGAGUGGAUUUAGAAAUUGUUGUUCAAUAUUGUGUUUUAAAAUAUUACCAAACAGAAUGACACACCAAAAAAAAUUACCCAACAUGUUAGUGUUUUUGGUAUCCUUGGAAACCUUAAGGAUGUGGUUGUCAGAGUUUCAAACCUAAUGCUUGUCUCUCUAUCUACAGGCAACUCCUUAUGCAUGUAUGUAGCCCUUUACACUCCACAACCCGUAUUUGGGUUGAACAUUAUAAAUUGGUUCAAUGAAAAGCGCAUAAAUUGGAUGCAGUGGCUAUACAGCAAACAUGCUAUACUUGAGGUCAGAGCUCAGGUCAGGCUCAUGGUCUCUGUUUUACAUAGCUGUACAGGAUUCAACUUACAAUACUUUAAUUCAAGCGCAACAACAAGAUGCCCCCUUCCCUGCCACUAAUUGGGCUAACUUUGCACAUUUGUUUUGGUCUUAGAAGGAAAUGUUGUAAAUCAAGAGGUCUCAAUGUGUUCUGAAAGUUGAGAAGUUAAGGAUUAUAAUAUAUGCUGCUUUGAUGUCAUACAAGCAAACCACACAGUCAAAAUGUGCACAUUACUUUUGCAUAUUACAGAAGUCAUGUCAUUUACAGUAUCAAAGAUUGUUUGAUGUACAAUUAAAAUAAGGACAUUGCAUCUUAUUAUGGGUUGUUCUGAACAGAAUGAGCCUAUAUUUGUCAUGUUGUGAAGAACAUUAACCGCUGAACAUUAGCCAUCUGAAUGAACUCAUAACAGGGUUGUGUUCGAGACCGCCUAAAGCGAGACCGAUUUAAGACCAAGACCGGAGCAAAUCGAGUCAGAGUCAAGACCGGAGGGGGACAAGGGGUCCGACACCGAGUCAAGACCGAGACCAGUAAAAAGGGAGUCCAAUUCAAGACAUGAUAGUAAUUUUGUCAAACCGCCAUUGUAGUUCAAAAUGUCGAGUGUUUCUGUGUUGAUAUUUCAGAACAACAUACUGUAGAUACACAAGCAUUUCACUGCACCUGUGAUGACGUCUGAAAAUCUGUGUAUGCAACUUAACUUUGAUUUACAAAAGCAGUUACUACAGCUAAAAGACGAUGUUGGCUGUCAUGCAAAUGUUGUUCAUGGAAACUGAUUUUUUUUCUUCCAGUGGCCCUGACUGUGGCUCUGUCUGGGUUUCAUCUUACAUUACAUUUAUGUUGUAGUUGAUUAGCAGACGCUCCUAUGGUACAUACAUGCAUACACAGUAUGCUAUAUAUUUUGUAGCAUUACAAUAUGUAAUGCAAAACAGUCAGGAAUAGGUUGGAAUUGUAAACAUGAGGUGAUAGUAAAAUCAGACAAUUUUCUUCCCAAUAUCACUAAUAUCACACCAUGCACAGACAAAUAAAAUGGCAAUUUUGCACACAAUCACCCC
rnacentral:lncRNA from 1 species